GUGCUCGAUAGCCACAUGAAUUAGAUCUGUAUGGAGAGGACCACACUGGUUGUGAUCAUGAAGACCUGUGCAGGGAUGAUAAUGAUGUUCAGGAGGUAUCAGAUGAAGGCAGUAUUCAUGUAUCAAAAGCAGAUACCACUACCUCAAGUACAAAGUUAUGGACCACAUUCCCGUGCGGAAGGAUUAAAAAAGUACUCCCGACCAGAUGGCCUUGACAAAUGUCUAUGAAGACAGUGAUAGGACAGCAAAGACAAUAAAAUGAUACUGGGCAGACACCAGAAGGAACAACUAGCGAAUACAAAUAUUAGGAUAUAUGGACAUUGUAUUUGGAUCUUUUUAGCUUGUCUAAUUUUUGAAAAAAUCUACGAGAUAUUGUUGUUACUUGAUCGCCGGCGUCAAUGUCAGAGUUGGUUAUAAUUUUUGUUUAGGUCCACCUUUUCACAAAAAUUAUAAGAGCUGCAGCUUUGAAACUUUUGCGAAACAGAAUAGUGAAUCAAAGAUCACAUUCUUUCUAUAUUAAGCGGUAACAAUUAACAACCUGAAUAUUGUUAAUCUUACACUUCAGUAACAUCUUUUCAAAUGUCUCGUAUCUUAUGAUGACAUAAUAUAAAUUCAAGGAAAAUCAUCAGUAUUUAUUUUUUGACUGAUAAAGUAAUACAAUGUCAUAUAUCAUAAAUUGAAUAAGUUUUUGUCUAUAGAAAGACGAAAAUGGUUAUAAUUAUUAGCGUAGGUUUUACAAAAUAACUUACAAACCACAACUUGCAAAUCAAGAUUAGUCUUCAUAGGAGGUCCUUCCCCUCAAAUACUUCCACACAGGGGUACUGUAAAUGGUGGGAGACAUGUUUUUAGCUCACCUUAGCUCAGGGUGAGCUAUUGUGGUCACUCACUGUCCAGUGUCCGGCUGUCAGUCCACACUCCUUUAAACAACAUCUCCUAAACCACUCGGCCAAUUUUGAUGAAACUUCACAGGGAUGUUCCUUGGAUGGUUUUCUUAAAAAAAAUUUCAAAUAAUUGAAUUCCAUACAAAACUCUGGUUGCCAUAGUAACCAAAAGAUAAAACGUUAGACAGAAAUCUUCUUGUCCAAAACCACUGGUCCUAGGGCUUUGAUAUUUGGUAUGUAGCAUCAUCUAGUGGUCCUCUACCAAGAUUGUUCAAAUUAUCCCCCUAGGGUCAAAUAUGGCCCCGUUCUGGGGGUCACAAGGGUUCUAUAGACUUAUAUAGGGAAAAACUUUGAAAAUCUUCUUGUCCAAAACCACAUUGCCUAGGGCUUUGAUAUUUUGUAUGUAACAUUAUCUAAUGGACCUCUACCAAGAUUGUUCGAAAGGAAAAACCUUUUAAUAUUUUCUUGUUGAAGUUACAGGAUAGAAAUUAUAAUUUUUGAUACAGAUUUCAAUACUCAUCUUGAAUAGUCUUAAUCCUGACCUACUGACGAACUUUCUUGUUUUUUGAAGAUACAGCAUAGAAAUUUGGACCACAUGUAUAACUUCUGAUACAGAUUUCAAUACUUUUUAAUAUUGUUAACCCUGAGCGACUGUCAGACCUACUUUCUUGUUUUUAAAGCUACAGCAAAGAGAUUUGGACCACCUGUAUAAUUUUUUAACAGAUUUCAGUAGUUAUCUUGAAUAAUCUUUACCAUGACCUACUUUCCUAGUUUUUAGGCCGACUAUUCGAAGAAUAAGUAGAGCUAUCCUACUCACCACGGCGUCGAUGUCAGUGUCUGCGUCACAUCUUGGUUAAGUUUUUCAUACCAGUCCACAUUUUGACAAAGUCUUUUGAGAUAAAGCUUUGAAACUUUCAACACUGAGUUAUGGCCCCUUUCAACUUAGAAAUCUUGGUUAGGUUUUUCGUACCAGUUCUGAGUUUGUGUAAAGUAUUUGACAUAUGGCUUUGAAACUUUUAUCACUUGUUUAUUAUAACAGUCUCUAUCUGUAGGCAGGAGUACAUAGCACUGUCAACUAUUUUGGCUGAAUAAUGGCCCUUCUUUGGACUUGGAAAUUGGUACAAUUUUUGUACAAGUCCAUGUUUUGUCAAAACUAUUUGACCUGUGGCUUUGAAAGUUUGAACAAUUGUUUAUCAUCAUGAUUUCUGUCUGUAGGCAAGAGUACAUUACUCUGUCAAAGAUGUUGGCUGAAUUAUGGCCCUUUUUGGACUUGGAAAUUGGUUCAGUUUUCAUACAAAUCCAUGCUUUGUCAAAACUAUUUGACAUGUGGCUUUGAAACUUUGAACACUUGCUUAUCAUCAUGAUUUCCGUCUGUAGACAAGUGUACAUAACUCUGUCAAGUAUUUUGGUUGAACUAUGGCCCUUUUUGGACUUGGAAAUCAGUUAAGCUUUUCUUACCCGUUCGUAUUUUUCCUAACCUGUUUGUCAUAUGGCUUUGAAACUUUGACCACUUGUUUACCUUCUUAGUCUACUUACCUAGGACAAGGACUUUACCUCAGUUAUGGCCCUUUUUUGGACAUAGAAAUAAGUUAAGUUUCACAUACUGUUCGAUAUUUUGUCUAUUAACUCUAUAGUUGUCGUGUUAACUAUAUAGGGUACCAUAAAUCUGGCAAUUUCUGCAUCAUAACUUUUGAUAUAUUUGACCUAGAACUCUGAAACUUAAACAAAAUUUAGAUCACCAUAAUGUGGUUGUGUACACACAAUUUCGUUCGGAUUUAUUUGUAAAUUAAGAGUUAUUGCCCUUUAAUUGUAUAAAAAUCCACAUACUUGUACAUAACAAACUUACCAUUUGGUAGAAUUUCAUUAAAUUUCUUUCCAUGAACAUUUAUUGUAAACAUGUGAAGUUGUGUACCCACACCUGGUCACACCCUUACCUUGAUCACACCCCUCCCCCCCCCCCCCCCCCCCCCCCACACACACAAAAAAAAUUAGAUUUUUUUUCAAACAAACUUCAUAUACAUUUUCACCACUAUGAGGUUAUGGGGCCCAUCAAGUUUCAGUCAGAUUGCCCAAGUAACACCAGAGUUAUGGCUCUUAGAAGUUUCUAGUGUUAACUAUAUAGGGUACUAUAGAUCUAUAGAUAUGGCAAUUUCUGCAUCAUAACUUUUGAUAUAUUUGACCUUGAACUUUGAAACUUGAACAGAAUUUAGAGCACUAUAAUGUGGUUGUGCACACACAAUUUCAUAUGGAUUUAUUUUGCAACUUCAGAGUUAUUGCCCUUUAAUUGUCUAAAAAUCCACAUAUUUGUACAUUUGGCAGAAUUUCAUUCUUUUCUAUGAACAUUUAUUAUAAACAUGUGAAGUUGCGCACCCACACCUGGUCACCCACUUGCCUUGGUCACAGCCUCUUAUCCUCCCCCCACCCCCCCCCCCCACCCCCGCAAAAAAAUUUUUUUUUAAAUUUCAUUCCUUAUUUUAGAUUUUUUUCAAACGUUCCAUGAAUAUUUAUGUAUAUAUAUAGAUAUAUAUGUAUAUAUUUAUUUUUUAGGGGGUGGGGUGGGGCUGCGGGGGAACGGGUGAGGAAACAAAAUUUCACAUGUUGAUUAUAAAUAUUGAUGGAAAAUUAAAAAUUAAAAAAAAAUAAAAAAUGGAUGAAGUGGGGUGGGGGCAGAGGAUGCAUGAUCAGUGGUGGGCAUGACUGGGUGGUGGAGCGAGGUAGGGGAAUGGUACAACUUGCAUGUUAUAUUUCCAUUCCUUUUCUUUUUUUAAAAAAAUGUUCAAACCUUCAACAUGUUAAGUUGUGACUACACAAACCUUGCCCUCAGCCAUGUUCAAGAUAUCUUACUUGAUUGUGUUCUCUUAAGGACAUCUGUUCUUUUAUGUACAAAUGUACAUGUUAAACAGCAACACCUGGUGCCAAACCUCUCAAAGACAAUAUUUCAUUCCAGUUAAACUUCAAGCUCACAUUUCUAUUAACCAUUUAAUUUUAAAAGCUAAGCUUAUUACAGUAAGCAUAUCCCAUUCAAAAUAAAUUCUUUAGUCAGGAUCAAAGUAUCGUACAUUUAUUAUGUACUCUUUAAUUAAACAUUAGUUUUCUUUUAAAUUGAUUUUGACUAAAGAAAUUAUUUGCUUCUUAUUAACAUCCUUAACUUUUUGCCGGAUAUAUUUUUUUGCCAUUCCUCACCACAAAUCCUUUCGGCGGGGGAUACCAAUUCAUCGAAUUUGCUUGUUAACACUAGAGGCCACAUUUGUGACCCAAUCUUUAUGACACUUGUUUGUAUAGAUGAUCUUUAGGUUAAGUUUGAAACUGGGUCAUGUGGGGUCAAAUAUUAGGUCAGUAAGCCUGAUCAAAGGAAAAUCUUGUUAACGCUUAGAGUCCACAGUUUAAGCUUGAAACUCAUGAGAAUUUGUCAGAAUGUUUGUUGUGAUGACCUCUUGGUCAGAUUCAGAUCUGGGUCAUGUGGGGUCAAAAAAAACUGGGUCACAUGGUCAAAUCAAAGGAAAAGCUUGUUAACACUCUAGAGGCCGCAGUUAAAAUCUAAUCUUUAUGAAACUUAGUCAGAAUGUUUGUCAGAUGAUCUCAAGGUCAGGUUUGAAACUGGGUCAUAUGGGAUCAAAAACUAGGUCAAUAGGCCAGAUCAGAGGAAAAUCUUGUUAACACUCUUAGUUGGAAACUCAUGAGAAUUGAUCAGAAUGUUUGUCUUGAUGACCUCUAGGUCAGAUUUGAAUCUGGGUCAUUUGGGGUCAAAAACUAGGUCACACGGUCAAAUCAAAGGAAAAGCUUGUUAACACUCUAGAGGCCACAGUUGUAAUCCAAUCUUUAUGAACCUUGGUCAAAAUGUUUGCCUUUAUGAUCAAUAGGUCAAGUUUGUAACUGGGUCAUGUGGAGUCAAAAACUAGGUCAGUAGGCCAGGUCAAUCUGGUGAGCUAUAUAGGGCCAUCGUGGCCCUCUUGUUUAUGCAUUGGUGUCUUCAAAUAACUUUGCAUAAGUAUUCACCAUUACAAGACAUUAUGUCAAUUGCAAAGGUCAAGGUCGAGGGCACCCAUAUUGUUUAUACAUGAAAUUACCUCCCUUUUAUAUGAUAAAGUACAAUACAGGCGUUUUAUUAGCUCACCUGAGGCUCAGUGUGAGCUUUUAUGACUUGAUGUCCGUCCUGCAUCUGUCAACUAUUUAUUUCUUGUCUGCAUGAUAGUGGUUCCAUUUAUGAUUUGAUUUUAACCAAACUUGCAUGCAUCAUAAGAUUUUGGUUCCUUUCUUUAACCAGCUAUAUCCAACCAUGAGUUCCAGAGUUAUAGCCUCUGAAAGGGCAAAAAUAGCUUGUUGCCAUAUUUAACCUUUAGCCUGCUGGCGGCGAGUUGUUUUGCCUUUGCGUGAACACCCCUUCAAUUAAUAAAUGGUAUUGCCCAAAUUGAAUGAUGGACCAGUCCAUUUUAGGAAUUUAGCAGUCUAAGGGUUAAGACCCUAUCUUAUGAAACUUGGUCAGAAUGUUUAUCUUGAUGAUUCCUAGGCUAAGCUUGAAACUUGGUCAUGUGGAGUCAAAGUCUAGGCCACCCGCUCAAAUCAAAGGAAAAGUUUGUUUAAACUCUAUAGAGGCCAUAUUUAAGACCCUGUCUUCAUGAAACUUGGUCAGAAUGUUUAUAAUGAUGAUUCCAAGACCAAGUUUGAACCUUGGUGAUGUGGAUUCAAAAUUUAGGUCCCAUGCUCAAAUAAAAGGAAAAGCUUAUUAACACUCUAGAGGCCACAUUUAUGACCCUAUCUUUAUGAAACCUGGUCAGAAUGUUUUAUCUUGAUGAUCUCUAUGAAGUAUUUGAAUCUGGGCCAUGUGGGAUAAAAAACAAGGUCACAUGCUGAAAUCACAUUAAAAGCUUUUUAACACUGUAGAGGCCUCAUUUAUGAUCCUAUCUUCAUGAAACCUGGUCAGAACGUUUUAUCUUGAUGAUCUCUACCGACUUUCAGACCCCUAGAUUAAAGGUCAAGGUCACACUUGGCAUUCAAAUGUUUUCAUGGUAUGAACAGGGCCUGUUUCCUGUCUGGUCCAGAAUUUUUGUCAUCCAUCAAGGGAUUGAAAUUUUACUUGGCAUAAGUGUUCCCCAUAAUCAGACAAUGUUUCAUGUUUAACACAAAGAACCCUAGCUCAAAGGUCAAGGUCACACUUUGGUAUCAAAGAUCAAUAGUUUUUUUUCCUUUCUGGUUCAUAACUUUAUCAAGCAAAAUAGGAUUUGAAUAUAACUUGGCACAAAUACCCGGACCCCUGGCUCAAAGGUCAAGGUCACACUUCAAGGACAAAAGUCGAUAGAUUUCAUUCCUGUCUGAUCCAUAUCUUUUGUCAUCCAUUAAGGGAUUUUAAUGAUACUUGGCACAAAUUACCUCAUAAUAAGGAGACAUGUCUUAGACAACAUCCAACCCCUAUUUGAAAGGUCAAGGUCACACUUGGAGGUCAAAUGUCAAUAGUUUUUUUUUCCUUUCCCAUCCAUAACUCUGUCAUUCAAUAAGGGAUUUUAAUACUACUUGACACAAAAGUUCCCCAUGACAAGACAAUGUGUCAUGCAUAAUAUGCAGACCCAUAGCUCUGAGGUCAAGGUCACACUUUAAGGUCAAAAGUCAACUUGAUCUUGUCCUGCCCAGUCUGUAAAAUAUUUUGAUAUAAGCUCAAGUGUCAAUUAAUUAAUUGCAGAAUUGUUGCUUGUCACACUCAAAAUGGCACACCCGUUGAGUUUUAUCUCAAGAAUGGCUGACAAAUGCUCACGGUCAUUUUUGUUCAUUUGCAGGUAAAGAAUUCCAUGUGUUGGUAGAAACUUACAAUGAAACCACCAAUCACCAAUACUCCCUAGACCAGAGCAAACUAUUGAGUGAGUUAGGCAGAAGCUGCAGUUCCCAGCAUAAUGUGCUGUAGAGUAGCUGCUCUAAUUGCUGAUCCGGUUGUUGUAGCCAAAGCUCAGGUUUCUUGCAGCAGCCCUUAUCCACCUGGUCUUCAUUUACAUUUGAACUACAUCCAGGAUUUGUCACAGCUCUAGAAGGAAGAAGGACUACAUAUCUGUGGAAGAAUCAGGAAACUACUCCAGACUUGUUGCCUUGACAGACGUUUAUUGGAAAUUUGAACAGUGACUGAAUACAUUGAUGUGUAGCCAAAAAAAAAAAUUCAUUGUUGAUGAAAGUGUUUCUGUGGCAAGAUUGACUGGGUCAAUGUUAAGCUUUAGAAAUACAGAGCUGACAAUGCUGUAAUUUUCUCCAUGUCCAAAAGUGCUUCAUCAACAGCAAAGAAAGAGAAAGUGUACCGGGCCAACACCAUAAGGAAACAAUCUUGUUUGGUUUCUGUGUCUGUGGUUGAAAGGGACUACCUCGCAGAAGGAUGUUUUACAUUAAUAUUCUUAUAGUGGAUUUUGAUUACACUUGAAAGGAAUGUGUAUGUUCAAGAAACAAUGAUUAGUUAGAAAUGUUGUUUGAUUUCCUGUCUGUCAUAAAAGUAAAAAUUAGUUGUUUACAAACAAUGAUGCACAGUAACUGACAUGAUAAACUGUAUUGAUAUAAGUAUUAUGAUUAAGUACAUUAUAUUAAAUUCAUAUAUUCUUUGGAAAUUAAAGGAUGUGUUAAUCUCUAAAAUUUCCAUUGUUCUGUUGCUGACUGUUAUAGGAAUGGUCUCCGUCCAUCCAUCCUUCCGCCUGUCUGUCCGUAACACUUUCCUGUCCACUCCAUACCUCCUAAACCCCUUGAAGGAUUUUCAUGAAACUUGGGUCAAAUGAUCACCUCAUCUAGAUGAUGUGCAGAACUCAUGAGUCAGCCAUGUUGGCUCAAGGUCAAGGUCACAACACUGGGUCAAAGGUUUGAGCCUUCCAUUUUGUGAUCACUCUGUAUCUCCUAAACCCCGUGAAGGAUUUUCAUUAAACUUGGGUCAAAUGAUUACCACAGUAAAAACUCAUGAUUCAGCUAUGUCAACUCAAGGUCACGGUCACAACUCGAGGUCAAAGGUUUGAGCUCUGUAUCUCAUAAACCCCUUGAAGGAUUUUCAUGAAACUUUGGUAAAAGUCACCUCAUCAAGAUGAUGUGCAGAACACAUGAGACAGUCAUGUCAGUUGUUAUAUAUGUGAUAUUCACAUCUAUAUUUUUUACAUGUACAUUUUGUAUAUUUUCUAGAAUUUUGGGUGGUCUC